rnacentral:tRNA from 1 species
AUAGUAGUAGUUUAAUUUAAAAAUACAAAGUUGCAAACUUUGGGCUUGCUUUGCACUAUUAUU